AGCCAUAUCACAUUGAAACAUCAAUUCUCACACAAUCACCAAAGUUAAGCAAUGUUGAGCAUGGUCUGUACCUAGAUGGGUGACCACUUGGGAAUAUCAGGUGCUGUAAG